GCAUUAUAAUAUUUUCUGUCUUACUAUCCAUCACUUUCCUAAUGGUUCCUAACAUUCUGUUAGCUUUUUUGACUGCUGCUGAACAUUGAACAGAUGUUUUCAGAGAACUAUCCAUGACGACUCCAAGAUCUCGUUCUGAAUGGUAACAGCUAAUUUGGAACCCUGAUUUUUUUUAUGUACAGUUGGGAUUAUUUUCUCCAAUGUGCAUUACUUUGCAUUUAUCAACAUUGAAUUUCAUCUGCCAUUUUCUUGCCCAGUCAUCCAGUUUUGUGAGAUCCCUUUGUAACUCUUCACAGUCAGCUUUGGACUUACACUAUCUUAAGUAAUUCCGUCUUGUCUGCAAACUUUGCCACCUCACUGUUUACCCCCUUUUCCAGAUUAUUUAUGAAUAUGUUGAACAGCACAGGUCCAAGUACAGAUCAUUGUGGGACCCCUCUAUUCAUCUCUCCAAUGUGAAAAUUGACCAUUUAUACCUAACUUUUGUUGCCUAUCUUUUAACCAGUUACUGGUCCAUGAGAGGAUCUUGUCUCUAAUCUCAUGACUGAUGGUGCUGGACUUUGUGAAAGGCUUUCUGAAAAUCCAGUACACUCUCUCAACUGGAUCACCCUUGUUCACAUGCUUGCUGACCUCCCUCAAAGAAUUCUAAUAUGAAUUAUUAUUAUAUUAUGGUGAGGGAUGAUUUCCCUUUACAAAAGCUGUGUUGACUCUUCCCCAACAUAUCCCGUUCAUCUGUGUGUCUGAUAAUUGUGUUCUUUACUACAGUUUCAACCAAUUUGCCUGGUAUUGAAGUUAGGCUUACUGGCCUGUAAUGGCCAGAAUCACUUCUGGAGCCUUUUUUAAAAAUCGGUGUUACAUUAGCUAUCUGCCAGUCAUCUGGUACAGAGGCUGAUUUAAGUGAUAUGUUACAUACCACAGUUAGUAAUUCUGCAAUUUCAUAUCUGAGUUUCUUCAGAACUCUUGGUUGAAUUCCAUCUCGUCCUGUUGAGUUAUUACUGUUUCAUUUAUCAAUUUGUUCCAAAACCACCUCUGUUGACACCUCAAUCUGGGACAGUUUCUCAGAUUUGUCUCCUAAAGAAUGGCUCAGGUGUGGGAAUCUCCCUAACGUCCUCUGCAGUCAAGACUGAUGCAAUUAAUUUAGCUUUUCUGCAAUGGCCUUGUCUUCCUUGAGUGCUCCUUUAGCUCUUUGAUCGUCCAAUGGCCCCACUCACUGUUUGGCAGGCUUCUUACUUCUGAUGUAUUUAAAAAAUGUACAAUACAUUAUAUCCACAAUCAAUAGGAUUUGCCAUAUUUCAGAGAUGUGAGUUUUUUGCAAUAAACAAAUCUUUAGUUGAUGGUACAGUACACUGAUAUGCUUUUAAAUUUUUCCUUAUGGGAAAUACAAGUUCAAGAAGUGCAAGGCAAGUAUAUAUUAUAAUUAUGUUCCAUCCAUUUUGUAUAGCUGAAUUUUCUGUAGCUUAGUAGUUUCUUAGCUUCUAAGCGUGGAUUUUUUUUUAACUGGACAAACUUUCCUUAAAUAUUAAGAACACUUGAAACUUAAACUGCAUGUGUGAACUGCUCUGUACUAAGAUAAAGAAAAGGGGGAGAGAUGGGUAAAGUAGGAAUUCAGUAAAUUCCAGAAAAUGGUAGCCAUUAGUACUGCAUGUUUCAUUUAUAAUAUAGUAAAGGCUCCACUAAAUAUUUCCAAAGAGAUACAUAAUAAACUGCUACUUUACAUGAUGGCC